GCCUGAGUGGUGAAAUUGGUAGACACGCUAGACUCAAAAUCUGGUGAGGGCAACCUCGUAGCGGUUCGAGUCCGCUCUCAGGUACCA
rnacentral:tRNA from 2 species